rnacentral:rRNA from 1 species
UACGUAGGGUGCAAGCGUUAAUCGGAGUUACUGGGCGUAAAGCGUGCGCAGGCGGUUUUGUAAGUCUGACGUGAAAUCCCCGGGCUCAACCUGGGAAUUGCGUUGGAGACUGCAAGGCUGGAGUCUGGCAGAGGGGGGUAGAAUUCCACGUGUAGCAGUGAAAUGCGUAGAGAUGUGGAGGAACACCGAUGGCGAAGGCAGCCCCCUGGGUCAAGACUGACGCUCAUGCACGAAAGCGUGGGGAGCAAACAGG